AGCGGAUGUAGCUCAGUUGGUAGAGCGUGGUCCUUCCAAGUCCAAUGUCGCGCGUUCGAAUCGCGUCAUCCGCUA
rnacentral:tRNA from 2 species